rnacentral:tRNA from 1 species
GUUGAGGUGGCAGACUCUGGCUAUUGCAAUAGAUCUAAGCUCUAUCUAUAGGGGUUCAAAUCCCCUCUUCAACU